rnacentral:tRNA from 1 species
GAGGACUAUGGCUCAGUGGCAGAGGAUCUGCUUUGCAUGCAGAAGGUCCCAGGUUUAAACCCCGCCAUCUUUA